UCAAUCGUUGUUGGUUGCGCUGUGCACGGUGUGUUGUAUUCACUUAAAAUUGAACACUUGGUGUGUUGAAUUCACUUUAAUUAAAAUGUGAACACUUGGGACAUUCUAGUCACCUGAUAACAGUGAGAAAUAACCCAUAUUAAACCAAUACAGGGCUCCGCCGAUUAUCAGCGUUAGCAUGGCCUCACCGUCUGUUUCACCCGGUGUCUUUGUUCAGCGUGUGAAAUGUUUAGUUACUCCUCUGCCUCCUUUAGUGAAGGGAAUAGGUGCAGAAAGUGGAGUUUAUUUAAGGCUAUGGAGGCGAGACUUAAUGAGAUUGAGACGCGGUUCCGCAGCUCGGAGUUGCGUCAGGUAGCCAGGAGAAGCUAGCUGCUGCGGAGCCGCCUAGCGUAGCUACAGCUAGCGGUCCCCCGGCAGCAGCCAGGGCGGCUGGGUGACGGUGCGCAGGACUCCAGCGACCAUAGCACACGCCUGAGGAGCUCAACACUCUUGUACCACACUGGUGACCAGCAGACGCAUCAAUGGCACAGCGAGGAACCCAGCAGCUGAAGGCAGAGCAAGAAUCAUCAAUGGAGACUUGGAGGGAAGAGAGGGUCCAGCACCUCAGAGAAGCCCUGGCAGAGAAGGAGGAGCAGCUCAGCAGGGCAGUGAAGAGGCGACACAUGAGGACUGUGGCCGAUGUGGAGACCCUGACCCAGCUGAACACCACGCAAGCUGCUCUGAAGGAGAGCAACCUCAAAUGUGCUUCUCUGGAGGAAACCCUCCACAGUCAGCAGCAGGACUGUGGAGGGUUCUAAAAGAAAAAAAAUUCAACAAAAUGCUGGAAGAAGAGCAAAAUAAAUAUAACGAGAUGAUCGUUGAUAAAGAGGAGUCGAUGAAGCAGCAGCUGUUGACUCAAGAGGAGACCCAUAACAAGAUGCUGGCUGAUGUUUGUCAGCGGUGGGAGAGGACAUCUCAAAAAUGGGUCCAGAUGACGGAAUUGCUGGAGCAGAAGAUCCAGGAGAGCCAACGGUUGAGGCAAGAGGAGCAGGAGAGGACCAAAGAGGAGCUCCAGAGGCUCUCUGAAGCGAUCCUCCAACUUGAGCUUCAAGUAUUAAAGAAAAAGAAGAAGAAAAGCUUCUGGAGAUGGAUCUCCAAAAAGAUGAGGUUCUGGAAAAGAUAGUGAAGAACAAUUCCAGAGCUCCCAAAGCCGCCCUCCUCCUCCUCCUCCUCCUCCUCCUCCUCCUCCCCCUCCUCCUCCUCCUCCACAUCCUGACUUCCACAGCGUCACAUUCAAGAUUCAAGAUGUACUUUAUUCAUCCUCGUAGGGGAAUUGAAUUGUAGAAGCAGCCUAACGUGGAUUAAUAUAACUGUAGCGCAGGUUUUGUAUUUACAAAGUAUAGAAAUAGAAUAAAUAAAUACAAAUAAGAUUAGAAUGUUAUAAGUAUGUAUACAGCAUAUAGUAUAAGAAUAUAUAUAAUAUUUACAUAAUAUAAUAUAUGCAUAUUAUAAGCAUUAUAAGCAUAUAUACAUAAAUAUAGAAAAAAUAGAAAUAAAAUUACAACAUAAAUAUUACAAUUAUUGUUAUUGGCUGGGUUUGGAUGAAUUAUAGAGUUUAAUGGCGGCCGGCAGGAAUGACUUCCUGUACCGUUCCUUAGAGCAUCCUGUCUUUAUCAGUUUUAUUUUACAGUAUAAUCAUUGUUUAUGUUCUAUGUUUGGAUCUGUGAUGUCGAAACAAUAAAACUCAAAGUAAACCACCAGAUUGUAGAUGUUGUCAA
rnacentral:lncRNA from 1 species